UUUAAAUGUAAAAUUGAUUUUACUAAAGUAGUAAUAGUUAUGUUCUUGAAAUUUAAAGAUUUUGGCGGUAUUUUAGUCUAUUUAGAGGAACCUGUUCUAUAAUUGAUAGUCCACGAUUAACUUUACUUAUUUAAUAAAUUUGUAUACCGUCGUUAUAAGAAAAUUUUAAUAGAAUAAUAAAUUUUUAAUAUUUUAUAUUAAAAAAUAUAUCAGAUCAAGGUGCAGUUAAUAUUUAAGAAGAAAUGGGUUACAAUAAAUUUAUUUAUAUGGAUUAGAAUAUUAAUAAUUUUAUGAAGGUGGAUUUAAUAGUAAUUAAAUUAAGAUAAAUUUUGUGAUUUUAGCUCUAAAAUAUGU
rnacentral:rRNA from 1 species